rnacentral:rRNA from 1 species
GACGUAGGGCGCGAGCGUUGUCCGGAUUUAUUGGGCGUAAAGAGCUCGUAGGCGGCUUGUUGCGUCAGCUGUGAAAAACCCGCAGCUCAACUGUGGGCUUGCAGCUGAUACGGGCAGGCUUGAGUUCGGUAGGGGAGACUGGAAUUCCUGGUGUAGCGGUGAAAUGCGCAGAUAUCAGGAGGAACACCGGUGGCGAAGGCAGCUUACUAAGCAGUAACUGACGCUGAUGCACGAAAGUGUGGGGAUCAAACAGG